GUAGGUGAACCUGCGGAAGGAUCAUUAACACGUAUCCAACGUUAAACAACCCUGUGAACUUUCAGCGCUCUUGUAGCCCCAGAGGAACAGCAAUCCCGGUAAAUCAAAUGGCGGAAAGAGUUUUGAUUCGGGACCUCUGUCCAAAAGGUAUCAAGUUACAAUCGAGCAGAGCAGUGGCAUGGUUUCCCUAAGCAGUGCAGAAGGAUCCACUGAGUAAGGAUAACGCAUCACGGUUGCCAGAGGUCGAUCACCGGCCGGCAGACAUGUCACAGGGCUUUACGCCCAAUCAAGCCUCGCGGAAACGCCGGGCAUAAAAACCGAACAACUGUUAACAAUGGAUAUCUUGGUUCUC
rnacentral:misc_RNA from 1 species